rnacentral:lncRNA from 1 species
UAAGUUUCUGUUAUUGUCUUGCCAAAAAUUCCUUGUUUUCAUGCAUUUCCCCCCUCCUUUCAAAGAUUUUUAAAAUUAGGUCCUCAAUUUCCAGUUUUAAAAUUCCUGUUGCGCACAGGUGAUUUUUAGGGCACUGAAGUGAAACUGUUCUGUGAUACUUCAAGGGUAAAUAUACAACAGUUUGCACUUGUGAAGACAAAACCAAAACAAAACUGUACAAUAUGAAGACAAAACCCUAAGAUAAACUGGGGACUUCAGUUAACAGUGUUCUAUUAAUUUUAUUACAUCAAUUGUAAUGUACCACGCCAAUGCAAGGUGUUAAUCACAAGAGAAAUGGAGUGUGAAAGGAGGGGUAUAUAUUGAGAAUUCUACUGCUUCAUUUUUCUGUAAAUCUAAAACUUAUGUCAGAACAGUAUUUCAUGCUACACUGAUUAAAUUUUGGAGAACUGGCUGAACCUUUAAAAUAUAAAAUUUUUGUAUCUUGGAACAAGGAUAUCUUCCUAUUAAUUCAGGUCUUCAUUGAUGGUCCUACAUUAGUGUUUUAUUGUUUUCUCCAGGUAUGCCUUCCACAUUUUUGAUUUAUUUAUUCCUAGGUAUUUUAUGACUUUCUUGCUAUGGUGAAUAGCAUUCUUUUAAUUUCUAGUAUAUUUUCUCAUUGAC